AUUGAACGCUGGCGGCAUGCCUUACACAUGCAAGUCGAACGGCAGCACGGGUGCUUGCCCCUGGUGGCGAGUGGCGAACGGGUGAGUAAUACAUCGGAACAUGUCCUGUAGUGGGGGAUAGCCCGGCGAAAGCCGGAUUAAUACCGCAUACGAUCUACGGAUGAAAGCGGGGGACCUUCGGGCCUCGCGCUAUAGGGUUGGCCGAUAGCUGAUUAGCUAGUUGGUGGGGUAAAGGCCUACCAAGGCGACGAUCAGUAGCUGGUCUGAGAGGACGACCAGCCACACUGGGACUGAGACACGGCCCAGACUCCUACGGGAGGCAGCAGUGGGGAAUUUUGGACAAUGGGCGAAAGCCUGAUCCAGCAAUGCCGCGUGUGUGAAGAAGGCCUUCGGGUUGUAAAGCACUUUUGUCCGGAAAGAAAUCCUUGGCUCUAAUACAGUCGGGGGAUGACGGUACCGGAAGAAUAAGCAUCGGCUAACUACGUG
rnacentral:rRNA from 1 species